GCCCCUUUAGUUUAAUGGAUAGAACGCGACCUUGCGGAGGUUGUAGUCCAGGUUCGAGUCCUGGUUGGGGCA
rnacentral:tRNA from 1 species